UACACAGAAAGAAUUACCCAGCUGGUCCAGAGUAAAUAUUUAUACAUGCUUAGGUGGAAGAGGUUUUGCCAACACAGUAAGAUCAUUGAGCAACUUUAUCCUCUUUACAAGAAACAAGUUGGCUACAUUAUGCAGGAGAACAAUGAUGUCCUUCAGAGAGCUGAAAGAUUAUCUGUUGCUGGAGAAAACUUCCUCAUGGGGAAAAACAAUCCUCCUAACUUAGUGACACAGGAAGAUCUUACUAUUUACACAAAGUGGUUAGUGUGCCACCUGCACUCUCUCAGGACUGUGCACCACUACCUGCAGGCCCUUUAGUAUUUGCCAAUCUCCCAAGUGCUGAAUGUAGCUGCCAACCAAGUCCUUGAAGUUGGUCAGGAAAAUGAAAAGGUCUGUGUCAAUGAUAUUGACCCUGACAUUCAGUGUUCUGCAUCUCCUAACUCUGUGGAUACCAGCAUUUUUGAUGACUAAGAAAUCUGACAAGAUUUCUACUACAAGUGACAUUCUUGCUUGGAUGCACGGAGUGUCCCCGGAGUGCCUGGGUGAGGCAGCCAACCCUGGCUGUGGGGCAUCUGAGAAGGCUUCUUGAAGGAGGGGAGUCCAAACUGGGCCCUUAGAGAUAAGGGGGAGUCAGCCAGGUUUCCCAAAAAUUUCAAAACAUCUUCAUGGAGCAACAGAGAAUGCAAAUAUUUCCAGACUAUGAAGCUGCAAUGGCUAAAGCAGAUAAUUUGGGUUUGGCAGGACCCAGUAUGACCCUGAAAAAGAGAGCCAACUGGAUUUCCUUCAUAAAGGUAAAGAGACUCGUGGUGAUAGUCAUCUGUCAGUGAUGUCAGCAGUGUCACAGUGUCGUCUAAGCAGAUCAAGCCAAAAUAUGAUCCGUGGCAAAAGAAGCUUUUGACUAAAUUAAAAGAAUGUAGAAGAACAGAUGUGUUAUUGUAACUCCAGGAAGUUU